rnacentral:rRNA from 1 species
CAGUCGAACGAAGCACUUUAUUUGAUUUCCUUCGGGACUGAUUAUUUUGUGACUGAUUGGCGGACGGGUGAGUAACGCGUGGGUAACCUGCCUUGUACAGGGGGAUAACAGUUGGAAACGGCUGCUAAUACCGCAUAAGCGCACAGCAUCGCAUGAUGCAGUGUGAAAAACUCCGGUGGUAUAAGAUGGACCCGCGUUGGAUUAGCUAGCUGGUGAGGUAACGGCCCACCAAGGCGACGAUCCAUAGCCGACCUGAGAGGGUGACCGGCCACAUUGGGACUGAGACACGGCCCAAACUCCUACGGGAGGCAGCAGUGGGGAAUAUUGCACAAUGGGCGAAAGCCUGAUGCAGCGACGCCGCGUGAGCGAAGAAGUAUUUCGGUAUGUAAAGCUCUAUCAGCAGGGAAGAUAAUGACGGUACCUGACUAAGAAGCACCGGCUAAAUACGUGCCAGCAGCCGCGGUAAUACGUAUGGUGCAAGCGUUAUCCGGAUUUACUGGGUGUAAAGGGAGCGCAGGCGGUGCGGCAAGUCUGAUGUGAAAGCCCGGGGCUCAACCCCGGUACUGCAUUGGAAACUGUCGUACUAGAGUGUCGGAGGGGUAAGCGGAAUUCCUAGUGUAGCGGUGAAAUGCGUAGAUAUUAGGAGGAACACCAGUGGCGAAGGCGGCUUACUGGACGAUAACUGACGCUGAGGCUCGAAAGCGUGGGGAGCAAACAGGAUUAGAUACCCUGGUAGUCCACGCCGUANACGAUGAAUACUAGGUGUUGGGAANCAUUGCUUCUCGGUGCCGUCGCAAACGCAGUAAGUAUUCCACCUGGGGAGUACG